GAGGGACUGAUGGUGAUAUUCACCGCUUUUCAGGUGGCCACGAUGAACCUGUGAAAAUCAGUACAACAAAAUGAAAGACAUGACAUUUCCUGUUCCCACUAGGUGGCGCUCUACGUAUUCCUGUCAAUGGGCACAUCAAUCUGUUCAGGGCGGGUCUGAAAUCAUGCCUGUAAAGUCUGGUACGGAUCAGAUUGGAUUUCAUUGAGUUACAUUAAUUUGUUUCUUCAUGGCGAGACAUCAAUGUUCGCCAUGCUGCUGGGGUCACACCCUUUCGCGAAAACUCACAGUUUUCACUGUAACCCAAGACCAACUCCUUAAGGCUUUCCUGGAGAAAUUUGAGGCUGCAAAUGUCACCCAUGACAAUACUGUACUCCAAAGUGUAAAACAUGACAUUUCCUGUUCCC
ensembl:lncRNA